AAGCAUCCCAGAGUCCAGUCAGCAGACAGCAGAAGAGACUGUCAGCAGACCACCUUGGAGGGGAUGCUUGGAGCUGCCUAACGUGUGAUUCAAAGAUGAAUUCCAUGUGUUUGGAGAAGAAGCCCUAGCCUCAACACAAAGGUUGGCCACAUUCCAGCCAAGGUAGCACGGAGUGAAGGCCCGUGGAGGGAGAGCUGGGCUUUUCUGAACUACUUCAGUACACCUUGCUGUGCCUUGGCCUGCCGUGUUUCAUCCCCAUGGCUGUCCUCAGUGAUGUGCAUGGUCACUGCUCCCUUCACCACUGAGAAGACGGGCACAGGACAGUCAGGGGAUGUGUCCAAGGUCCCACAGCAGGAAGGGCUGGAGCCAGAAUGUGGUCUGAGAGGCUGGAUAUACAAAGAGACAAUGGCAUGACCAUCUGUACAAAUGGAACUAUGGCCCACAACCUGCAGCAGCCAGCCCAGGAAGCCAACCCGUCACCUGCAGCAGCCAGGAUGGAUGCUGGCCUGCCCUCAACCACAACAUUGAACCCAACAUCCCCCUAAGUAGGUUGUACUCACAUCAUUGGUCUUAUGGGGAAAUUUUAAGACCUCCCACUUGUAAGGUUUUAUAGCCCUCUAUGGAAUAUUGAAGAAAGAGUAAAAUGCAUCCAAAAAAAAAAAAAAACACUAAACUGGAUAAAUUCUAAGGCCUCUUCAGGUCUUAAGAUGGCCAUUUUCUAGGUCCUCUUGCUGCAGCAGUGAAAUCCACAAACACGGACAAGUCAGUCAGUUACGUGCCUUUCAGAGAAAACUUCUGACUUAGGAAUUCCAGCUAUUUGGCCCAACCCAUAUUAGAUUGUGUUAUAAAGACAUGGUAAAUUACAUCACGAAGGGAAGAGCAGAGGAAACAUAAUAUUCCUUCAAGACCCAUCAGCUCAGAUGUUAGCAGAACACCCCUAAGGAGGAAAACAAGAAAUUUUGGGUUUGAACUUGGUACUUCCCAGCAGCCCUGGGAGUGGGGUCAGAAGCCCUGCUGGGGGCCAAAGAACUCUGAGGAUCAAAGAUGUUGAGCAUCACCUUAGAGGCCAAAGAUCAGAACAGUGGAGGUGGCCUUUGAAGCCCAACCUGUCUUUCACCAGAGAGUGAGAACGGCCUCUAUUUCCAGGAAGCUCACUGCAGCAAUAAUCAUGAUGCUCUGAGCCUGACAAGGUGAGAAUUUACUUUCAGCACCUGCAAUAGUUUCCUAUUAAAGUUACAUAUGAAACCCUGCCGUCUUGUACCAACUAAUGUUCACACCAGCGUUCCUAUUUUCAAGAUAAAUUGCAAAAUAAAAACUCUUGUUUUCGUUAGCAAAAGAAAACUUCUUUAGGAGGAUAAAAGGGAGAUGAAGAAACAGAAAACACAUCAGCUCUCCAUCCAGAUUACAGAAAGCAGAAAACAUCCUGAAGUGAAUAACAUAGGAAUCGCUCUUUUUCCCCCCUGAGAUAGCAGGUUACUUAUGAGAAACAAGCUUGAAAUCUCUGCACCUGGACCAGCUUCCAGAGGCUUUUGUCCUGACCAGGUGAGAGGGGAAAAAAAAAAAAAAAAAAAAAAAAAA
ensembl:lncRNA LINC01304 long intergenic non-protein coding RNA 1304